rnacentral:rRNA from 1 species
GUGCCAGCAGCCGCGGUAAUACGAAGGGGGCUAGCGUUGCUCGGAAUUACUGGGCGUAAAGGGCGCGUAGGCGGCCGAUCAAGUCAGGCGUGAAAUUCCCGGGCUCAACCUGGGGGCUGCGCUUGAGACUGGUUGGCUAGAGGCCGAGAGAGGGUGGUGGAAUUCCCAGUGUAGAGGUGAAAUUCGUAGAUAUUGGGAAGAACACCGGUGGCGAAGGCGGCCACCUGGCUCGGUACUGACGCUGAGGCGCGACAGCGUGGGGAGCAAACAGGAUUAGAUACCCUGGUAGUCC